rnacentral:rRNA from 1 species
UCCUGGCUCAGGAUGAACGCUGGCGGCGUGCCUAAUACAUGCAAGUCGAACGCUUUGUGGUCCAACUGAUUUGAAGAGCUUGCUCAGAUAUGACGAUGGACAUUGCAAAGAGUGGCGAACGGGUGAGUAACACGUGGGAAACCUACCUCUUAGCAGGGGAUAACACUUGGAAACAAGUGCUAAUACCGUAUAACACUAAUAACCGCAUGGUUAUUAGUUAAAAGAUGGUCUUGCUAUCACUAAGAGAUGGUCCCGCGGUGUAUUAGCUAGUUGGUAAGGUAAUGGCUUACCAAGGCAAUGAUACAUAGCCGAGUUGAGAGACUGAUCGGCCACAAUGGGACUGAGACACGGCCCAUACUCCUACGGGAGGCAGCAGUAGGGAAUCUUCCACAAUGGACGAAAGUCUGAUGGAGCAACGCCGCGUGUGUGAUGAAGGGUUUCGGCUCGUAAAACACUGUUGUAAGAGAAGAAUGACAUUGAGAGUAACUGUUCAGUGUGUGACGGUAUCUUACCAGAAAGGAACGGCUAAAUACGUGCCAGCAGCCGCGGUAAUACGUAUGUUCCAAGCGUUAUCCGGAUUUAUUGGGCGUAAAGCGAGCGCAGACGGUUAUUUAAGUCCGAAGUGAAAGCCCACAGCUUAACUGUGGAAGUGCUUUGGAAACUGGAUAACUUGAGUGCAGUAGAGGAGAGUGGAACUCCAUGUGUAGCGGUGAAAUGCGUAGAUAUAUGGAAGAACACCAGUGGCGAAGGCGGCUCUCUGGACUGUAACUGACGUUGAGGCUCGAAAGUGUGGGUAGCAAACAGGAUUAGAUACCCUGGUAGUCCACACCGUAAACGAUGAGUGCUAGAUGUUUGAGGGUUUCCGCCCUUAAGUGUCGCAGCUAACGCAUUAAGCACUCCGCCUGGGGAGUACGACCGCAAGGUUGAAACU